rnacentral:rRNA from 1 species
AUGGAGUCUAGCUACUUGUGGGAAGACAGCCAGCCUGUAGAAGACAGCGAGCUCGUGCUUGAUAGCCUGCUUGCGGAGGACAGCAUGCUCGCUGACUGCAGCGCCCCGGACGACGGCGCGCUUGACGACGGCGACGUCCAUCCGCACUACGGCAUUCCCGCAGAGGGCGCCGUCCAGAAGGACGACGGAGCACUCAAGAACGGCGUCGACCACUCGCGCGACGGCGUUCCCACGACAGGCGGCGUCCUGCAGGGCGAUUGCGCACUCGCGGACGGCGUCCUCCAGCUGCCUCACGGCGUGUCCGUGGAGGGCGGCGUCCUGCAGGGCGAUUGCGCGCUCGCGGACGGCGUCCUCCAGCUGCCUCACGGCGUGUCCGUGGAGGGCGGCAUCCAACAGGGCGAUGGCGCGCUCGCGGACGGCGUCAUCCACCCGCUCGGCGUCCAGGUGGUCGCGGAGGAGGGCGACGUCGUCCUCCCGGCGCUCGCUUCGGGAGGCCAUGCGUUUGCGGAGGGCGUCGCCAGCGACGGCGGCAUGCAUGCAAAAGUACACUCGCCGGAGGUGAGUGCAUCAUUUUCCGAUGAUGCAGAUCUAAUGUCCAACUGUUACGGUUACACACCUGGCUUCCCGUGCUCUUUGUGUGGUGGCCAUGGACGAGGCAACACAAACUGCCCAAGGUGUGCGCGAUGGGGACGCUUGCUCGCGGACAGCAGCGUGCACGCACUGGAGCGCGACGGCAGCAUGCACGGCGCUGUCAAGAUAGUGGCAGGAGACGGCAAUGACCAGGUGCGCGCGCUCGUGGACAAUGGCAAAGUUGACCCAGAAAGCAGCAACGAGACGACAAACGACGAGGAGUUGCUGGCCGGCACGGAGGGUGAAGAGGCCGGCGACAUUGAUGCAUCUCUUCUUUAUGCUCCUGACUCGAUGCCGGAGGAAGAAUCUUUGCCACUGCCGGAGCAAUUCUCUGUGCCGGAUGAAACGACAAAGCGUGAGUUCAUGAAAAUUUAUCUGCCGGAGUUUCAUGAGUGA